GCCGUAGUAGCUCAGUUGGUAGAGCAGCCGCCUUGUAAGCGGCAGGUCAUCAGUUCAAGUCUGAUCUGCGGCUCCA
rnacentral:tRNA from 1 species